UACGUAGGGGACUAGCGUUAUCCGGAAUUACUGGGCGUAAAGGGUGCGUAGGUGGUUUCUUAAGUCAGAGGUGAAAGGCUACGGCUCAACCGUAGUAAGCCUUUGAAACUGGGAAACUUGAGUGCAGGAGAGGAGAGUGGAAUUCCUAGUGUAGCGGUGAAAUGCGUAGAUAUUAGGAGGAACACCAGUUGCGAAGGCGGCUCUCUGGACUGUAACUGACACUGAGGCACGAAAGCGUGGGGAGCAAACAGG
rnacentral:rRNA from 1 species